AACAGAAAACAAUGACUGUGGCAGUUAGCAGCCUGCUUCAUCAGGACCUUUCUGGACAAGGAGAAAAUGGGAGCUUCCUUACAUGUGCUCUGGAUGGCUGCUCCUCACAAGGAGACUGCGGACCCUGGUCUCCCAUGGGUUGGAGCACAAAGGGAUCAAUCAUCAAGCUCAAAACCACAGCACAGCCUUUUAAAGGAUACUAACUUCGCUCCUAAUGAUUUUUGGAAAUUGCUAAUCUAAACCUCUAAAAGCUAUUAGGAAUCUUCUGAAUGACAAGUUUGAAAAGUCACCUGGUACCAUUCUGAGGAGAUGAAGGAGAAUACAAGAAAUUAAUGACAUUCCCUAUCUAUCAGCAGACUGAAUCUUCUACUGAUAAAUAUAUUGAAUACAGUGUAAUUGUCUUGGCGUUCCACUUGCCAUGAAACAAAGAAUUUUGGACACUGCACCAGAAAAAAAAGUAGUUGCACAAUUGUGAAAGUGCUAGAUAUGGAAUGAGUUUAUUCUUUUACAGAAGACAUGUUUCCAUGCAUCUAACAAGUUUCCUAGAAAUUUUCUUAGUUGAAGGAUCCAAACUAUCCAAAUACUUUUUACUGAAAGUUUAUACAUGUUAUAUUUUACUUCCUGGUGGAUGGGUAGGGAAAAUAAUGUUUGUUUAAUGUGCUUUCUUCUGUUAUGAUUUUUGAUAUCUUACAAUGUUCUUCAUGGCUGUCUUGCUACUUUUAAAAUAUUUUAUUGCCAGUUGUAGAUUCUGGACAUUGACCUGGAAACUGCAGGAACCAGUAUCCUCCUGUGAGAAUAGGAAAUGUUUGUGUGAAUACUUUUUAAUGACAUUCUGUUGCAGAAGUAUGAAAAAAGAAGAAAGAAAAGGCAUUUCAGCCAAAAGAUGGCACUGCAAGAACAUCCAUUCUGCUUUAGAUACAUCUGAACUGAAUCCCGGGUUGUUUUUUCUCAUCAAAUUGUAUGCAGGGACCAUAUGUUCUGUGUGUGUACCCUGCAUUGCCUGAAACAGCUGCACACAUCUAUUCCACUUAGUGAGACCAAAAAAAAAAAAAAAGGUUUAGCUGUGAUUCCAUAUUAAAUAAAGAUAUUUAUUUAAAUGCA